rnacentral:misc_RNA from 1 species
GGCAAAUACCUUGUAAACGAGACCCACUUUAGCAAAAACAAUCUUUUCUUCUUCCCUAGGUUGCCUUGUCUAAAGCCAAAAUAAACCUCGAAAUCGAUCAAUAAUUCAGUAGUCUCUGCUACUUCUCGAUUCGAUUACAGUGGGUUCAGAAUUCAAUUUCAAGUUUCUAAAGAAUGUCGAAAUCGCUGGUAGAUGUUCCUCCAAUGGGUGGGUUCAGUUUCGAUCUCUGUAGAAGAAAUGAUAUGCUGGCAAAGAAGGGAGUUAACCCUCCCUCCUUUAGGAAAACAGGAACUACAAUUGUUGGCAUAGUUUUCCAGGUGUGAUAAUGCUUAAAUUGUAUUUAUAUCUAUGUUAAUUUCGAUUUAUUUCUGUAGAAUUUGGUGCUAAAACCCAGUUUGAUACUUAGUUCUCGUUAAUGCUGUUUAGUCAAUUUGAUUGCUUUCUCAGUCUCCCAAUCUAGUAAUCUUCUGCGAGAUGUAUGAAGGUUUCGGAAAUUCUGGAGUUCAUUUUUUGGGAUUCUGUUUCUUAGUCCUAGUUUUAGGAUUAUGUUUCUGGACUAGCACCAAUCAAGAUAUUCAGUGCUGAUACAAGGAUGAAGGAAAAUAGAUUAGACCGAUUAGUUUUUCCGAUUCAUAUAUGUUGUUAGCCAUAACGAGCCACUUUAAGGUGAGCAUUGAGAUUGACUGGUUGGCAUCCUCUAGGCAUAGGAUUAGCUUUUUUUCUCUUGCCUUGCUGGGCUCUCACAAAAUUCUGUUCUAUCUAUCUCUAAUUGUGUGUUUUUUUUUAAUAAAAAACUUAUAAACAUACGCAAGUGUGCUAGGAUCUUUUGUAGUUUUGUGCAUUUCCAUAUAACCUUACUUGUAUCAAAGCAUGCAUUUUAGCCUGUAUACGGGUAGACUUAGGUGGGUUUGGCAUGGUAUGCCACUCUAAACCAACUUAGUUGGUUUGCAAUUUAUAGCACCAAAACUGUUUGCGUGCAAUGGGAUGCUGAGUAUUUAAACUUGGGCUAAUGUAAUUUGUCAAGUUGGGAAUUGAUUUGGACUUGACAAAUGUCAAAUGAAAAAUGCUGUUUGAAGAUUGGGAGGGUGGAGAUUAUCAUUUGAGAGAAUGGAAUACAGCUGAAUUGCUAAAGGUGAGAAUGAGUAGGGUUUCUUGUGUUUAUAAGUUUAACUUGAAUGGUGCAAUUUUAAUAGUAUGAACACUUAAUUAAUAAUUAUCAUAGAUUCUGAUCAUUAAAUUUAAGCAUGGGCCAAUCUCAUUUUAAAUUUCUCAAACUGUGGCUAAUGUUAUCUAACCUGCCCUUUGGUUCAAAUUACCGCAGUUAGUACUUUAGUUGGGUUGAGCAGGUUCAUUGGGUUAACCAUGCUUCUGUGUAGUCCUAAUACUUCCCCACCAUACACAUACAUACAACUACAAGCAUUUCUUGCAACUAGCUUCAACCUCAAAAUACUUGUAUGAGUGCCUGAUUAUCAUCAAGUAUAGCUGAUGAACAGACAUAUAAUAGAAUUAUGCCACACGCACAAACACAUGAAAAGAAAAUUAUAGAGCUGAGCUAAGGCAGAAAGGCUAUGAUGGUAUUCUUUAUAGGAUAUGGAUGGGUGUGUGCCUUGAUGAUCAUUGCUUGAGUUUUGGGGAUUGCUAUAUUGGUUGGUCCAUGUUCUGGCAAGCCCUUGGCAUCUAUGCUUGCCCAAACGUUACCCCAGUGUAUCUAACUUGUUUGGUUUAUUUGUCUUUUUUUUUUUCCUCUACUUACUUUAUCCUAUAUAGGAUGGCGUCAUUCUUGGGGCAGAUACUAGAGCAACAGAGGGACCCAUAGUUUGUGAUAAGAAUUGUGAGAAAAUUCAUUAUAUGGCACCAAACAUUUAUUGUUGUGGUGCAGGAACUGCUGCUGAUACUGAGGCGGUAACAGAUAUGGUCAGUUCACAGCUGCAGUUGCAUCGCUACCAUACAGGCCGAGAGUCAAGGGUUAUCACAGCACUGACUCUUCUUAAGAAGCAUCUUUUCAACUACCAAGGUUAUGUCUCAGCUGCUUUGGUUCUUGGUGGGGUUGAUUGCACUGGGCCUCAUUUACAUACUAUAUAUCCCCAUGGAUCAACUGACACAUUGCCGUUUGCUACAAUGGGUUCUGGUUCUCUUGCUGCAAUGGCUAUUUUUGAAUCAAAGUACAGAGAAGGCUUGAAUGUAAGUAGUUUGUCAAUAGUGUUUUAGAUUUUUGGCAGUGAAGAAAAAAAUAUUGGUACAGUUUUAAAAAAUUUAUUAUCAUCCAAAGAUGCUAGUCGUCUGGUUUAUGAACAUUUAUAUUAUUAAAUAAUCAGACUGUAUGAAUUUGCAAUUAUUAAACUGCUGUUGAAUAAAACACAUAAAAAAGAAAAUAUGUGAUCCCCUGCAUGGUGUUGCUUUCCUCUUUUUUCCUAUUGAAUCUUGGUUUAGAACUUUACUUUUGUAGAGGGAUGAAGGUAUAAAGCUUGUAUGUGAAGCAAUAUGCUCUGGUGUAUUCAAUGACUUAGGAAGUGGAAGCAAUGUUGAUGUUUGUGUUAUAACAAAGGGACAUAAGGAAUAUCUGAGGAACCACAUGUUACCAAAUCCACGUACCUAUAUCAGUUCAAGAGGGUACACUUUUCCAAAGAAAACUGGUCGGUAUCUAAUUUCUUUGUCUUUUGUGAAUGUGCUUUCAUUUAUCCUCCACUGCAACUUCUAGUAUUCAAUUCUACCAUGGCACAUAUUUGAAAUUUAUGCUUACAGAGAAGUGGUAAUGGGGGAUGUUUUCUGUUCAGUUAACUGAACUCUGAGGCUUCUUUUUAACUUAACCUCAUACAUCAAUUAAGUGCUUAUUGUUAGUCAAACUUGGAGGCGCAUGGCUCCCUCUCAGUAUUUUGCUUUCCUAGUAGUGGAGUUGAAAUAUCACAACAUUUUUCAUGACUAAGAAGAUUGAUGACUUUCAGUACAUUUCAUAUGAGAUUUAUGGAAGCCAGAUAAAUCUAUGGUGCAUAAACUAUGCCAUUGAAUUGCAUUUUUCACUUAUCAAAUUCUCAUUGUGCCGGAAUGUUGGAAUGGUAGCAAUUUUCAUAUAUGGGUUAUUAUUGGUAUUUAGUAUGGUCGAACAAUAGUUUAACUUUAUUAGUUUCAAGUUAAUGAUAAAUUGUUUAAUUUUCAUUUUGUUAUUCAUUAAUGAUUUUUUUUGUCUGUUUCCA